rnacentral:rRNA from 1 species
ACGGAGGAUGCAAGCGUUAUCCGGAUUCAUUGGGUUUAAAGGGUGCGCAGGCGGGUUUGUAAGUCAGUGGUGAAAUACUGCCGCUUAACGGUAGAACUGCCAUUGAUACUGCGAAUCUUGAGUAUGGUUGAGGUAGGCGGAAUGUGUAGUGUAGCGGUGAAAUGCAUAGAUAUUACACAGAACUCCGAUUGCGAAGGCAGCUUACUAAGCCAUAACUGACGCUGAGGCACGAAAGCGUGGGGAGCGAACAGG